rnacentral:tRNA from 1 species
UGCAGCGUAGCUUAAUGGUAAAGCGCCAAGUUCAUACCUUGGUCAAUGCGGGUUCAAUUCCGGCCGCUGCGACCA